CGCGUAGGUGGCUGGGGAAGUCGGCGGUGAAAGCCCGGAGCUCAACUCCGGGUCGGCCGUCGAGACUCCUCGGCUCGAGCUCACUAGAGGCAGAUGGAAUUCCGGGUGUAGCGGUGGAAUGCGUAGAGAUCCGGAAGAACACCGGUGGCGAAGGCGGUCUGCUGGGGUGAGGCUGACACUGAGGCGCGACAGCGUGGGGAGCAAACAGGAUUAGAUACCCUGGUAGUCCACGCCGUAAACGAUGGGCACUAGGUGCUUGGGGGAGCGACCCCCUGAGUGCCGACGCUAACGCAUUAAGUGCCCCGCCUGGGGAGUACGGCCGCAAGGCUGAA
rnacentral:rRNA from 1 species